GCUGGGGUCCCGGCCCCACCCGGCCUGCGGGGGCGAGAGCGGGCCCCAGCGCGACCUUGGGCCUGGGGAGUGUGUCUCCGACGCCUGUGGGUGCAGCCGCCUGAGGUCUAAGCGCAGGUUGAAAACAACAGGUACAAGCCGUUGAUGCUGGAGUGCUGUGAUGCUGGUAUUUUAACGGAUUCAAAACCAACUUUCAGGCUAAGUUCGCUUAAUGAGGUCAGGCAUUGUUGUGUAAGUUGUAGCAGCCAUGUGCCCAUGAGUUCACACGCGGUAGCUGGUGGUGAGAGAGCAGUGCAGUGGGCACCUCAUUUCCAUCUUUUCAUUUAAUUCUCACAAUUAUGUGAAGUCAACACUGUUCUCUAAUUUUACAGAUAACGCAACAUUAAGUCCCCCCACCAAUCCUCAAAGGACUCUGGACCACCCUUAUACCCACCAGGGACACAAGUCUUAGUCAAGGAUGGGAAGGACCUACCCAGUUCUCUCAUAUGAUAAAGUUCCAGGGGUUGCCAGUUGGGCCCACUAUACUAGGAUCAAACCCUAGGUACAGGCUGAGGACCUACUUCCUCUGGACCUGGUUUACACCUUUUUUGCAAAAAAAGACCCCAAAACAAACCAGAAUGCUUCUAAAUUCCAGAUAAGGCUCAGCAGUCUCUUCUAUUAUCUCCUAAUUCACCCUAGCUAAUUCCGGUAGUGCUUAUCAAUUGGCCAACCUUAUUGCCAUUACUUUACAAUUCAAUCCCACCUGCUGGGGAUCUAUAAAACCAACAUCUCUGGAAUUGGGGAGCACUUAUUGCUGAUGUAGUCCAACGAGAGGCUCCCCAAAUCCCGAUAUUGCCAUGGAAAGCCCCAUAAGGACGUAGCCUUUUACUAAGGGCGAAGGGCAAUUGUGUCACUCUUAUCUGUGAUUCUCAAAACACCCUGCAUUUGAAUCCCCAAAGGGGGCCCCUAUUUCUUGAAAGAAUUCAUGAAAAAAAAAUCUAUAACCCCUCUACUUGACCCCCUAACCACAGCCACAUUUGCAGCCCAGGGAGUCCAACUCUGGGGAACCAGAUUCUCCAUGGGAAGGGGAAGCCAGGCCUCUGGGGAAAGUAUUCUUACGCUGACAUCCAGGUAACUGAAGAACUUGCCCUUCCGAGGGAAUUUCCUGGAUUUGGGGAUCCUGUGCCUACCUGGCUUUGUCCGCUGGAUGGAGAGGUAUUUGCUCUCUAGGUUAUGUCAUCCCUAUGUCAGCAUGAUGACUCUAUAGCCUGGAAUAACAGCCCCCUUUCCCUCUCCAUUUCGGAAGUCAUCUAAAUGGACGAGCAGGGUUUCUCAUCCCCCGCCAUCCUCCUGUGGGGAGGGGGCAGCUGUAGGAGCCUUACUGGGGAUCCAACAGCUUUUAUCCCAAAACACAGCUGCUGCCCUAAGACAGGAGAAAACUAAACAUGUUAGAAGAGCAACUUGAUUCCUUAGCCUGUAGCCCUUGAGAGCAGAACGUGGUACCUGUUAACACCUAAAGGAGGAAUGUUGCCUCUAUAUCAAUCAGGGCAGGUACAACAAAACACCAGACAUCUUUGAAAGGGCAAGCAACAGAUUACUGGGGACUCCUUCUGGAAUGCCAAAUCUUGGCUUCUCUUCCCCUUUCCUUUGCUGCGACCAUAAUUCUGGCUCCUAAUAUUUGGGCCCAUGCCACCUUAAUUUAUUCAACACAUUCCUUAUAUAGCAGCCAUACAGCUCUGUCUGAAGGGUACCAGGUCCUCACUCCCAUGGAACAGACUCCUCUUAUUCCUGGCCCGUGGACGGACGUCCGCACCCACAUCCUUCAGUGAACAGCAGGCAUGGGAACCCAAAGCCCCACAAUGACCCCAAAUAGCUUGAAGCAGCCAGAGCAGUCUUUGCCCAGAAGACCCCAAAGAAUUGGGUUCCCAUAACUUGUGGGGGAGGGAGGUUAGGUAGGAAAGUAGACACGAGCGGCCUGCCCUGGGGUUCUGACGGGUGAAACCAACACUGCCUUGGACCGCCUCUGGGCAGCCUGUAGUCAGUCUCUGGGGCCGACCACUAGUGGGCAAAUUCCGACCAAGCGGGUGCUUGGUGCAGGUGCAAAGGUUAGGUAGUGGCUCGAGCCCCCAUCACCUAUGUGUGGCCCUGAACAGGAAGCCUUAUAUGCAACUUUUUGGCUACGUGACCUGGAAAGUCCUUUCUCUUGAGAUGGAGUGUAACAUACUGAAAUAGGUUAGGCCAACUGAGGAGCGGGGGGCAAGGACCACAGGGCAGAUAUUAAGAAUUAAGUUCUAAACAGCAUUUACAUUGAAUCUACAAAAGCUCCAAAAUUUGGCCCAAAUGGGCAUAUGUCAGCAUUUUUUUAAAAUGAAUAUUGCAUAAUGUAAGAAGGGAUAUAAAAGACGGUGGUGCUAAAUAGGAUAGGAAAGUACUGGUGGCGAUGGGGAAAGCUUUCAUAAGGGAAGAAAUGUGACUGCAGCGAGAUGAACACAGGCAGGUGUGUGCUAAAAGUCCUUCCUGGUGCCCAGCUUAAUGUCAAACUCAUUUUCUUGAAAUCUCUAAUAAAGGUAUAUAAUAUCCA